rnacentral:rRNA from 1 species
GUCUUGCAUUGGAUUGAGAACAACGUACAACUCUUAUCGAUAAGCCAUUGGAGGGCAAGUCUGGUGCCAGCAGCCGCGGUAAUUCCAGCUCCAAUAGCGUAUAUUAACGUUGUUGCAGUUAAAAAGCUCGUAGUUGAAGUGAGGGAGUGUGUGUUCAUGAGAGCUAGUCUCGAGUGUUCACAACCUCCCCCCUCCAAUCGGUGUAGUGGGGUAUUCAGUUAUUCUACUACUCCUUUGGUCGUUUACUGUGAGAAAAUUAGAGUGUUCAAAGCGGGCGUUUGUUUGAAUAGAUUAGCAUGGAAUAAUGAUUGAAGGCUUUCGUGUUCGAUUUGAUUGGUUUGUUCAUGGAAGCAAGGUUAAAAGGAACAGUUGGGGGUAUUCAUAUUCACUAGUUAGAGGUGAAAUUCUCGGAUUUAUGGAAGAUGAACA